CAGGGAGACAACAAAAUGUUUAAUAUUAUUAUUUUGUCACCUUAGGUCGAUCGGUAUCUCACAUUCUUAAUUUAUUUAAGAAUUUCAUUUCCUAAGUUUUUCUAGGUCACACCCAUUAUUUUUCCUGGGCCAUUAGCUCAGGUGGUUAGAGCGCACCCCUGAUAAGGGUGAGGUCCCUGGUUCAAGUCCAGGAUGGCCCAUCUCUCUAUGUUGGGGGUAUAGCUCAGUUGGUAGAGCGCCUGCUUUGCAAGCAGGAUGUCAGCGGUUCGAGUCCGCUUACCUCCACUGAUUACCACCUCUUCCAUAAUCUAUAGAAAGGAAAUGUUUUGAGUUGUGAUCAAAUUCUGAACGAUUCCAGCUUCCUAAUGUAAUUAUUAAGAUGCUGGACUCAUUGAAUUAAAUUCAUUGUUUUCAGAGAACCUUGACAACUGCAUAGAUUAUUUUUAAAGACAAUAAGCAUCUUUAAUGAUGCAGAUUUAUUAUUUGUGCGAAUGCAUUAAUAACAAUUCUAUUAAGCUGAUGCUUCAAAUUUGAAGUUAUU
rnacentral:tRNA from 1 species